rnacentral:rRNA from 1 species
GAUGAACGCUGGCGGCGUGCUUAACACAUGCAAGUCGAACGGAAAGGCCGAAGCUUGCUUCGGUACUCGAGUGGCGAACGGGUGAGUAACACGUGGGUGAUCUGCCCUGUACUUCGGGAUAAGCUUGGGAAACUGGGUCUAAUACCGGAUAUGACGAUCUCUUGGAUGGGGUUGUGGAAAGCUUUUGCGGUAUGGGAUGAGCUCGCGGCCUAUCAGCUUGUUGGUGGGGGAAUGGCCUACCAAGGCGUCGACGGGUAACCGGCCUGAGAGGGUGUACGGCCACAUUGGGACUGAGAUACGGCCCAGACUCCUACGGGGGGCAGCAGUGGGGAAUAUUGCACAAUGGGCGCAAGCCUGAUGCAGCGACGCCGCGUGGGGGAUGACGGCCUUCGGGUUGUAAACUCCUUUCGCAAUCGACGAAGCCUUUUGGUGACGGUAGGUUGAGAAGAAGCACCGGCUAACUACGUG